rnacentral:rRNA from 1 species
AGAGUUUGAUCCUGGCUCAGGAUGAACGCUAGCGACAGGCUUAACACAUGCAAGUCGAGGGGCAGCAUAAAAGUAGCAAUACUUUGGUGGCGACCGGCGCACGGGUGAGUAACGCGUAUGCAACCUACCUAUCAGAGGGGAAUAACCCGGCGAAAGUCGGACUAAUACCGCAUAAAACAGGGGCACCGCAUGGUGAUAUUUGUUAAAGAAAUUCGCUGAUAGAUGGGCAUGCGUUCCAUUAGGUAGUUGGUGAGGUAACGGCUCACCAAGCCGACGAUGGAUAGGGGAACUGAGAGGUUGGUCCCCCACACUGGUACUGAGACACGGACCAGACUCCUACGGGAGGCAGCAGUGAGGAAUAUUGGUCAAUGGGCGGGAGCCUGAACCAGCCAAGUCGCGUGAAGGAAGAAGGAUCUAUGGUUCGUAAACUUCUUUUGCAGGGGAAUAAAGUGCAGGACGUGUCCUGUUUUGUAUGUACCCUGAGAAUAAGGAUCGGCUAACUCCGUGCCAGCAGCCGCGGUAAUA